rnacentral:rRNA from 1 species
AUUGAACGCUGGCGGCAUGCUUUACACAUGCAAGUCGAACGGUAACAGGGUGCUUGCACCGCUGACGAGUGGCGAACGGGUGAGUAAUGCGUCGGAACGUGCCGAGUAGUGGGGGAUAACGCAGCGAAAGUUGUGCUAAUACCGCAUACGUACUGAGGUAGAAAGUGGGGGACCUUCGGGCCUCACGCUAUUCGAGCGGCCGACGUCUGAUUAGCUAGUAGGUGAGGUAAAGGCUCACCUAGGCGACGAUCAGUAGCGGGUCUGAGAGGAUGAUCCGCCACACUGGGACUGAGACACGGCCCAGACUCCUACGGGAGGCAGCAGUGGGGAAUUUUGGACAAUGGGCGAAAGCCUGAUCCAGCCAUGCCGCGUGUCUGAAGAAGGCCUUCGGGUUGUAAAGGACUUUUGUCAGGGAGGAAAUCCCUAGUGCUAAUACCGCUGGGGGAUGACAGUACCUGAAGAAUAAGCACCGGCUAACUACGUGCCAGCCGCCGCCGUAAAAC